rnacentral:rRNA from 1 species
UACGGGGGGAGCAAGCGUUGUUCGGAUUUACUGGGCGUAAAGGGCGCGUAGGCGGCCAGCGCAAGUCAGUUGUGAAAUCUCCGAGCUUAACUCGGAAAGGUCAACUGAUACUGCGCGGCUAGAGUGCGGAAGGGGCAACUGGAAUUCUUGGUGUAGCGGUGAAAUGCGUAGAUAUCUCCAAGAACACCUAUUGCGAAGGCAGCCAGCUGGGACCAUAUUGACGCUGAGGCUCGAAAGCAUGGGGAGCAAACAGG